AGGAACUGAAUAGACAUUUCUCUAAAGAAGACAUACAAAUGAUCCACAGGUACAUGAAAAGCUGCUCAACAUCCCUCAUCAUCGGGGAAAUGCAAACCGAAACCACAAUGAGAUAUCACCUCAUACCUGUUAGAAUGGCGAGUAUCAGAAAAAACAAAAGAGAAAUGUUAGGGAGGAUGUGGAGAAAAGGGAGCAUUUGAUACACUGUUGGUGGGUGUGUAAACUGGUCUAGCCACUGAGGAAAACGGUGUGGAAGGUUCUUAAAUGAAACCUAGAACUGCCAUAUGAUCCAGCAAUCUCACUUCUGAGUACCUAUCCAAAGGAACAGAGAUCAGGAUCUCAAAGGGGUGUCUGCACUCCCGUGUUCCGUACAACAUUGUCCACAAUAGCCAAGACAUGGAAGCAAUCUAAAUGGUCAUCAGUGGGUAAAUUGGGGGGAAAUGCGGUAUAUACCUACAACGGAAUAUUAUUCAGCUUUUUAAAAAGGCAGGAAAUCCUGCUAUUUGCAACAACUGGAUGAACCUGGAAGUGAAAGAAACCAGACACGAAAUGUGUCCUGUAGAGCCUGGCACUGAGACUGCAUGGGGACAGGAGAAGCAACAAAGCAUGGAUCAUAAGGAACCGGAAGCCGCUGUAUAGAAAAUUCUUCUACUCUCCAGACCAGGUAAAAUCAAAUAGACAACAGUGAAACAAACAAGGAACGCCUGCCUGUGUGUGUAGUCUCGGGUUUUAUGCAUCGCAUCACAUCUUAGCAUAUCUGACACAUCUCGUCUUGACAAAGUCUGCUGGUUCCAGAAGAGAGAGAGCACCAAAUUGCCACAAAUGCGGUGAAAUAAUCUGAAGAAAACACGCACACACACCACACAGCAAAAGAUGCAAAACAAAGGAAGCACUGAAGAGAGAAAGCAUAAUACAAAAUAAGAUGCCAGAAUGAGAACGAAGCCUAUCCAUCACAUUACAUCAAUAAAUGCAAAUAGGACAGGCCUUGUUUGGAAAGAAAAUCUAUGAUACGCCUUUGUUAUCAGACAUCUCUUCGUGCCACAUCACAGCCUCUGGUCCUUCCAUGCCUCCAGAGCCUCUGACCCAUCCUGUCCUAGCCUCUCCAGGGUGACCAGUUCUGCCCGCGUUCCAGCUGACUUCUGACACACAGAAACAGUCCUCCACACUUCACCUCACGGCCACACGCUUGCCCCCCGAGACAAUUGGUCCCAAGGGCGCUUAAAAGAAGACUCCCGGGAUAGGAUUGUGACAUUGAAUUGCCUCCUUACUGGUCUGAUGGCAAUAAGGGCACUUGCUAGAGUAAAGCAGGUGGUGGUAACCCUUGGCAUGAACUGGGCAUCAAACUUACUGAGGUUUUCACCUGUGGUUACAUGGGGGUGAGGGGCAGGUAGAAGGUGGAAUUCAGCUGGGAACUGCAAUGCCUGCAGCCUUUCGUUGGUUAUGGGGACAGUGAUGAUUAUGAGAAAUGCAGAGUAGGCCGGCUUUUAUGAACAUGAGACACCUUGCAAAAAAGAAAAUGGUAGGCUCGGGGUAGCUGACAGCCAGCUUAAGGAUUUGUAAAAGCCGUGGGGAGCUUUAUGGCAGUUUUUGAGGAGCCUCUACUCCUGCAGCUCGGGGGCAACCUGAUAAAGCCAGGCUCCGCCGCUGAUCGUCAGGGUGACAGGGCUGCUUGCUCCGUGCCAGCUGCUGCUGAGAUGACAGACCUUGUGCGCUUCAACUCACUUCGUGUGGGUACAACCCACCAGUGCCCCAAGCCCUCCUGUGUAGCACGCCUCCCCCUCUUGCCCUGAGGCAUCCACAUUGGUGCCGAGGUGCGAGACACUGGGGGCCCUCUGGGCGCCAAGCUUGGACGACCCUGAAGUGAAGGGCAGUUAACACUUGUGGAGAGAACGUUUGACCCAUGGGGGACAGAAGCUGCCAGAUAAAAUUCUCCCUUCUUUCUCUCCCUGUAUAGACAAUGAUGAAAUACAGUUAAAAAGGAAGAUGGCCUCUUGGAAGAUGGUCCCAUGAGAUCAGACACACACUCCCUCUUCAUUCCAAGCCUUGACCUGCUGAGUGAUGCAGCCUCAGAUUUGCUCUUCCCGCCUCCCCGCCCCUUAGCGAUGUUCCCUGUUCCCUUCCUCUGGCUUUCCUGGGAUUGCAUUCCCCAAUAAAGUGGUAGCAAG